rnacentral:rRNA from 1 species
UGGGGAAUAUUGGACAAUGGGCGAAAGCCUGAUCCAGCCAUGCCGCGUGUGUGAAGAAGGUCUUCGGAUUGUAAAGCACUUUAAGUUGGGAGGAAGGGCAUUAACCUAAUACGUUAGUGUUUUGACGUUACCGACAGAAUAAGCACCGGCUAACUCUGUGCCAGCAGCCGCGGUAAUACAGAGGGUGCAAGCGUUAAUCGGAAUUACUGGGCGUAAAGCGCGCGUAGGUGGUUUGUUAAGUUGGAUGUGAAAUCCCCGGGCUCAACCUGGGAACUGCAUUCAAAACUGACUGACUAGAGUAUGGUAGAGGGUGGUGGAAUUUCCUGUGUAGCGGUGAAAUGCGUAGAUAUAGGAAGGAACACCAGUGGCGAAGGCGACCACCUGGACUAAUACUGACACUGUGGUGCGAAAGCGUGGGGAGCAAACA